AUUGAACGCUGGUGCAUGCUUAACACAUGCAAGUCGGAACGGUAACAUAAUAAAUGUUUUUUACAUUUAUGGAUGACGAGUGGCGGACGGGUGAGUAACGCGUAGGAACCUACCUUUUAGUGGGGGAUAGCAGUGGGAAACUACUGGUAAUACCGCAUGAUACUUUAGAGUUAAAACUAGCUGAAUUUUAUAGCUUGUGCUAAAAGACGGGCCUGCGUUAGAUUAGCUUGUUGGUAAGGUAACGGCUUACCAAGGCAACGAUCUAUAGCUGUUCUGAGAGGAAGAUCAGCCACACUGGGACUGAGAUACGGCCCAGACUCCUACGGGAGGCAGCAGUGGGGAAUAUUGGACAAUGGGCGGAAGCCUGAUCCAGCAAUGCCACGUGUGUGAAGAAGGCCUUCGGGUUGUAAAGCACUUUUAUUAGCGAAGAAGAUAUAAUGGUUAAGAGCUUAAUAUAUUUGACGUUAGCUAAAGAAAAAGCACCGGCUAACUCCGU
rnacentral:rRNA from 1 species